rnacentral:rRNA from 1 species
GCAGCAGUGGGGAAUAUUGGACAAUGGGCGAAAGCCUGAUCCAGCCAUGCCGCGUGAGUGAAGAAGGCCUUCGGGUUGUAAAGCUCUUUCAGAUGUGAAGAUGAUGACGGUAGCAUCAGAAGAAGCCCCGGCUAAUUUCGUGCCAGCAGCCGCGGUAAUACGAAAGGGGCAAGCGUUGUUCGGAUUUACUGGGCGUAAAGGGCACGCAGGCGGUCUUGCCAGUCAGGGGUGAAAGCCCGGGGCUCAACCCCGGAACUGCCUCUGAUACUGCAGGACUAGAGACUAGGAGAGGGUGGUGGAAUUCCCAGUGUAGAGGUGAAAUUCGUAGAUAUUGGGAGGAACACCAGAGGCGAAGGCGGCCACCUGGACUAGAUCUGACGCUCAGGUGCGAAAGCGUGGGGAGCAAACAGGAUUAGAUACCCUGGUAGUCCACGCCGUAAACGAUGAGUGCUAGUUGUCGGGACUUCGGUUUCGGUGACGCAGCAACGCA